GGGUGGCGGAUAGAUCCUAUCCGGGAUUUCAUGUUCACCGGAAGUGAUGUAAGGGCCGCAGUGCGCAUGACCACAGACUUAGCUCGAAACCAGAAACAUGGACAUUUCUGAUGGGUGAGCGCGGUGGAGGGAGAACACACGAAAAUUUUACUUUUGUCGGCUGCUUGGACGUUUUGUUGACGUGACAGUAGCUUCUCUGCGUAAAGAACAAGCUCCCGGAUCCCCUGAUAAUAGGUACCAGUGACAACACCUAUGCCACAUGGAAACCUACAUUUUAAACUGCCUGCAUUUCUAUUACCCAAUUUGUUGAUAUUCUUAGCUUGUCUUAAAAGUUUGGAUUUUUGAAGCCUCUAUAUAAAUAUUGUGAACUUCUAAAACCCCAAUUUAUCUUGAAGAUGAUUGAACUUUUUUCCAACUUGUAUAACAGAUGAACUGUAUAAAUAUUGCAGUGCACAUUGA